UGCGAGGUCCCGCGCGACGCCGCACCGUGAACCUGGUCAGGGCCGGAAGGCAGCAGCCAUAAGCGGCCCGUGGCGGGUGCCGCGGAGCAGCCGCGCCGUC
rnacentral:SRP_RNA from 1 species